rnacentral:rRNA from 1 species
UACGGGGGGAGCAAGCGUUGUUCGGAUUUACUGGGCGUAAAGGGCGCGUAGGCGGCCACCGCAAGUCAAUUGUGAAAUCUCCGGGCUUAACUCGGAAAGGUCAACUGAUACUGCGGGGCUAGAGUGCGGAAGGGGCAACUGGAAUUCUCGGUGUAGCGGUGAAAUGCGUAGAUAUCGAGAGGAACACCUGCGGCGAAGGCGGGUUGCUGGGCCGACACUGACGCUGAGGCGCGAAAGCCAGGGGAGCAAACAGG